rnacentral:rRNA from 1 species
AUUGAACGCUGGCGGCAGGCCUAACACAUGCAAGUCGAGCGAGCGGCGGACGGGUGAGUAAUGUAUGGGGACUGCCCGAUAGAGGGGGAUAACUACUGGAAACGGUGGCUAAUACCGCAUACUAUCGGAUAACCCAUAUGGGAUUAGCUAGUAGGUGGGGUAAAGGAUCACCUAGGCGACGAUCUCUAGCUGGUCUGAGAGGAUGUUCAGCCAAACUGGAACUGAGACACGGCCCAGACUCCUACGGAGGCAGCAGUGUGGAAUACUGCACAAUGGGAGCAAGCCUGAUUGAGCCAUGACGCGUGUAUGAAGAAGGCCUUAGGGUUGUAAAGUACUUUCAGCGGGGAGGCGUUACCCGCAGAAGAAGCACCGGCUAACUCCGUGCCAGCCGCCGCGGUAAUUC